rnacentral:misc_RNA from 1 species
AACCACAAGCGCGAGGGCGAUUUCGAGGAAUCAGAGUUGGGAUUAAAGAAGCAGAGAACAGAAGAAAAUGCAUUGGAGGAGAAAGCGAUAAAGAUAGAUUCAGAUAUGGAUGAAGUGAGUGAAGAAGAAACCAACCAAAAAGUUUGUAUGAAAGAAGCGAAGCAGAGUAUGGAGGUGAAGAAGGGAUUCAACAUCGAAGCUGACGCUGCAGAAGAUAAAGGUUCCAGGCAUUCCAUGGAGGAUGCUUGGGUAUUGCUCCCG